ACGCCAUGAUCCGGCCUGAGGAGAAUAAUCGCACAUCCCCAGUAGACAGCAUGGACACCAAAAGGCACUCCGCUGAAAGGUGACCUCCAGAAACUUCACCUCCCUGAAACAUUUGGUGAGUUAAGAGAGUCAGAGAAUCCUUGUAUUCGCAAAUGACACCUCCCACCACCCCCGUCAACAUUUGGCAGGACAUGCAGCUCCAAGCCAUUUGCUAAUGUUCAUUUUAAAUGAAGUCCUCUGAAACAGAACUCAUUAUCUAAUGUCUUCAUGUCUUCUUCUUCUUCCCCACCCUGAAACACUCAUCCAUGCCUGACAACUGUCAUUUUGCCCUUUGGCCUAAGUGACAAUGUCCUUUCAAAUAAAAUCUUAAUUAAGUGUAUAUCUUUUUUAUUAAUGACCAACAUAUAUAAUGGUUUGUUUUAUCUGAAAUAGCCUUCAGUAGGAUCAACAAGCCUGUGCACAAAAUGCACCUGCGCCCACUGCUUCUGUUUUAUAUCAACUUAAAUUCAAUAAUUUAGGUGUUUUACACUGUUGUUUUGACAAAAGUAACAUGAAGAUGUCUAUGAUGUUCAGACACUGACACAAAUAUAAUAAAAGGGUAUCAGAGAAGUCAAAAAUAUCACUUUGCAUGUCUGUGUUUCAUAACGACACAUCUGAACUACAUAUUUGACCUCAUUCACAAAUAUUUUCUUUCUUAAAGAACAUGGCUGGUAAUGUUCUGAAGGUUUCAUCGUCAACAAAUUGCAUUAGAAAGACCAAAACUAUUUCUAAGUCAGUAAUCUCCCGAAUUAGCUGUGCAUUGUAGAUUGGAGUAAGCUUUAGCCAAACAAGAAUAAAUGAUAUGUUUGUGUAAGCUGCGGAUUAAACACACUGUUGACCUGGGAAUAUGUCACAAUGGUGUAGCUCAGGCAAUGCUUGGGAGCAAUGCAUUUUUGGUUUUGUGUUUUCAAGGGCUUUGCUGACAAGAAGAGACUAAUACUAACACACGGCUUCUUUUUCUUGAAAUUUAUUUGUCAAAUCUGAAAAAGAAAAUCAUAAAAACCCUGCGUCUCAUCCAUCAAACCACUGCAGACCACUAAAUUGUAAGUACCCAUCUGAAAAUGUUGGCCAAUCGUGUUUGAUUUUAAUUUGGAUGCACAUUCCAGGCAGUUUGUUAUUAGCAUGAGCGGAGGUCCAUAUAGGGCAGCAGUCCUCAGUGGUGGGUCCAAACCAUCUGUAAGUUAUUACCUGCGGAAACUAAAUAUCAGCACGCACAUGACCGAAAAAAAUAAAUAAACAUAAGAAUAAACAUGCAUUAUGAUAAUAUCAACCAUACCAAUACUACUACCUAUUACUACUAAUAAUAAAUACGAUGUGUAAUAAUGUGCAAUAUGAUUAGAGACUCAGAGAAAUUGUGGGAUAAUGUUUGCUGCGUGAACCAUAGAAAUAUCACUGAAGGCCAAAUAUUAACACCACAGGAAGCGGACAGGCAGCUUCUCAGCAACUGAAAUGGAUCUGUGGAUCAGAUCUAGAAUUAGAGAGGCUUGUAUCACCUGAGUUGCCACUUGUGGCAGCAGAUACACAGGCUUACAGGUAUUUCUGUGAUUCUCUCUCUAAUGGUAACCUUACGGCACAUGUGAAGGGCUCAUUUAAAUGAAAACGAGAUAUCAAAGUUACUGGAAUGUUUUAUAUUUUCACAGUGUAGGUUAUGUUUUAUUUAUUUAAGUCAUGGCCUAAAACUGUUGGUUUACAAGUGGCCUAUAUGAAACUAUAAUCUUGAUAAUGAGUAAUAAAAUCGAUUCCCUGUAACACACCUGAGGCUGAUUUUGUGUGAUAGUAUUAUCCAUAUGCUGGAAAGCUUGUUCUCUGAUAAAAUAUUACCCUCAACUACUAAAAAAAAAGUGUUGUGAAGUAGCCUUUGGUGAAAGUAACUCUUUAUGGAAAUCAGGUUUUGCGCUGAAGUGAUGAUUGAUAGCAGCGUAGUGAACCUCAGGCUAUAAUCAAUGCAAUCUCUGUAAGUGAAACUAACACAAAUAAACAUUAAAAUCAAGCAAACAUCAAAAAAAUCAUCAUUUUAAUUAACUGGCCAAAGGCAAGGCUCAUUUUUCAUGAGAGAAAUGGUGCAUACAUACUGUGUACAUGCUGUUUUACUGAGUUCAGUGGGUUUGCAGUUUGUCACCCAGUGUGUCUGCGAGUCUGAGUACAACCGCAGGAAUGGUUUAACGCACUCGAGCAUUGGAUGGAAUUCAGUCAGCAUGCAUUUCAUUUUGGGUUUGCAGUAACAGGAGGGACAGACGUGGUUAUACAAGAGAUGUGAAUGAGAACAUUUGGGCAUACGAGCGUAGGAAAGCACAGAUAAACCAUUUCUGUCACCUCAUUUCUGAGAAUAUGAUUACCUGUCUAAAGUAAUGUGUUCACCCUACGUCUCUUCCAUCGUAUCUGUUUCAGCUGUUGGUUCCAUUGUUAGAUUUUAUUGGGCAUUCACGACUUUUACUGGCAGACCGUUAUCACUGAUUGGUUUGAAAUGGUUUGAGGAAUUCUGUUUAUCCAAAACGCACAAUGGAAGAGUGAAAUCCUGUCGACACAGGACAACUGUUAUUCCACAAACUUUUGUACGUUUAUCAGCCCAAUUUGCGUUUCUAGUUAGAAAAUGACAUGAAUUCAAAAUCAUGCUGCACACCACAUCUGUACUAACUAACUUGAAUAAAAUAGAAUAGAAUAGAAUAUCUUUAUUGUCAUUAUGCAAUGCAUAACGAAAUUUAAGUGCAGUACUCAGAGCAGGAAGUACAAAAAAAAAAAAACAGUAUAAAACAUAGAUAAGAGGGAUAACACAUACAUCCACAUACAUACAGUAUAUACAGUUUCAGAGCAUCAGUCCAUUAGUUAUUUCAUGUGGUCAUUCGGGGCAGUUCUGGCCUUAGCAUAAAAGCUGUUUUUUAGUCUGUUUGUGUGGGUAUUUAAUGUCCUGUAUCGCCUGCCUCAGGGUAACUGUUCAAAUAGCAUGUGGCCGAGGUGAGAUGGGUCCUUGAUAAUGUUCUGGGCUGCAGCGGGAACUGUGAAGUUCUUCCAGGGAGGGGAGGGCGCAGCUGAUAAUUUUCUGGGCGGUGUUUAUAACUUGUAGAGAUCUCAUGUGAGCUGAGAUCUGAAAUUCUGCAAAACUCUUUUUUUCUUGCUUAUUUCUGUAGAAUAGAAUUAGAUGUUUCAAAAAAAAAAAUGCAGAUGAAUCAUAAAUACAUACAAGAACCUUUGCAUUUACCCCAAUCUGUAAAGCCAGCUAUAAAAUGCCUUCAGCCUCUGCCAUAAUUUGUUGACUUUCAAAAUCGAACCGAUGGAGUGUUUGCGAGAACAAAAGGUGAGAUGUAGUGAGGAAAAACCAGUCCAGCAGGACUUCAUUAGGCAGUGGGAUUCUACAUUAUAAAACUUCAAACAUUAUAUAUAAAAAAAGGGAAGUAUUUGGUAUUCAGCUGCAGCUCUCAGGGGCUCAUACUUGCAAUUUCAGAAUAAUCCUUGACUAAAUCAGGGAAUCUCUGAUCUAACAAGUCCAUUAAUGCACAAGAUUGCACACACACACACACACACACACACACACACACACACACACACACACACUAAGCUUACUCUGCUGAAGCCUUUACUGUCCACACAGUGUUCUGAAGAAACUAUUGCAAGAUUAUGGAUUUCUAACACAAACACUGCAAUUUUUGUUGACUGUGAACUCCUCGGCUGUGCCAAAUGGGAAUCUUCAUUAAUAGUUAUGCAGUUUCAGCUUGAAGUAUGGAAGCAGUUGUCAAUGCACUAAUCAUGUUUUUUUUUUUUGGCCCAAAUCCUGAUCCAAGUCAUUUAAUAUUUAGUAUCAAUCGAUUCCAGUCUGAUGUUUUUAUGUUUACAUCACACAGCAGCACAUUGAAUACUAGAUUAGGACUAUGCUAAAGUCAGUAAAACAGUUUAACAAAACCAUUUUAUCCUACACUUUAUUUACAUGCUUCCCCCACACAGUUUUACGCUUACUCAACACUUACUGAACUUGAACAAGUCUGUCUCAACAGAUAGUUAGUACUAAGGUUUCUCUUUGCUUUGCUCUGCAUGAUGGCUUUAAAUGUAGAGCAUCUAUUUGGAUCGGUUGGGACAUAAAUUGGACACCCUCCGUUUCUCCAGUUUAAGUUCACAAUUUAGUUUUAAACCAGCUGCAGUACUUGAGAAGACUGGUACUGGUACUUGUGCCAAAUAUUGCUGAAAAAGAUGCAAAGUGACUGUGUUUUUAAACCUCUGCUCUCCUUGCUGUCAGUGUGUAGACAUGUCUUCAUUGAAACAGUUGGCUGCUCGACAUUAUUUGUGCAGCUCAAAUCACCGUUUUUUUGUAAUAGAUACGGGUUUUUUAAUGGAGGACGGGAAAUUUUGACAGCUAGUCUACCUGCAGAACACAGGAUUACAAUAAAUAAAGGAUGUGAUUUGGAUCAGCUCUCAGUUGUACAGUUGGUGAUUAAAACUUGCUGAUCGGCUAAGGACAUUUCAAUCUUGUGAAGAUGGUAAAUGGACUGUACUUAUAUAGCACCUUUCUAGUCUUCCGACCACUCAAAGCGCUUUUACAGGACAUAUCUCAUUCACCCAUUCACACACAUUCACACACAUUCACACACAUUCACACACAUUCACAUACAUUCACACACUGAUGGCGCUGGCUGCCAUGCAAGGUGCCAAUUGCUCAUCAGUUUGAGGAGCGAACCGGGGAUCGAACCGCUGAUCAUCUGAUUAGUGGACGACCCGCUCCAUGCCCUCUAUAUGUAUACGAUAAAUUACAUACUGUAUAUUGCAGGCCAGACAUUACUUAGAUGUCCAGCAGUUAUGAAAAGAACUAAAUUAUUGCUUCUUCACUAUGUAGAUCUUUUCAGUUUAAUUCUUUCUAAACGGUAAACCUACAGAUUGACUAACAGUAAAAUAAUUUUGACUGUAGCUAUCUGUCUUUUUCAGUCCAUUCUUUACUGUAUAGAGAUGUUGACGCAUGUUUAGUUGCUUUAGGGGACAGUGGUAAACCUCACCACACAUAGGGGUGCUGAGAUGGAGCAGCUCUGUUGGUAUGAGGUGAAGCCUCUGGGGACAGAUUGAAGGAGGUCAUGGAUGUUAAUGUGAGGAAAGAAAAAGUACCACAGCUGCAACACUGCCACAGCUGUGACUUUUUUUUGAGCAUAGAGAUGCUGUCAUAUCAAGACUGAACGCUGUGUCAUUCAAGUAUGCCAUAGAUACUCAACAUUUACGUCGUGAUGCUAUAAUGGUAACACAAGUCAAGGCAGUGUGUGGGUGUUAUCGAUAUGCUCUCGUAUUCUCUAGUCUUUUCUCAUGAUGGAGCAUAUUAUGUUGCACAUAAUGAAUCUAAUAUGGUUACCUGCCAUAUUGCACAACCCUGUAGCCAAGUCCCUUUCCUGCACCUUACCAACUCAUUCACUGACUGCUUUGUCCAAAGGCAGCUUUGGCUCAAAUUGCCGCCUCUUUCUGUCGAUAUGUUUGCUACACAGCAAUCUGUCUUGUCUGUGAUUGUGUUUUGCUGCUGCAAAACACUUGCCCUAUGCUCAGCGUUAAUCUUCUAUAGCUUGUGUGUAGCUGUCUUAAAAUGUCUGGGCACUUAUUAUACCUUCAGGUGCUUCUUUUUAAAUUUUGUUAUCACCUUGAUAGUACUCUUGUGCCUGUGCACCCUGUAGACUUGAUAUAGGCAGUUUAAAAGUUUCCAACAUCUUUAACUCUUAUAUCUUUGUCUUCUAUACUGCCAAUGAUUCCAUUAGCCAAGCUAAAAUGCCAACUUUAUCUUAGGAACUUGGAGCUAAAGUAUACAAAACGUGUGCCCUCGUACUGUUUUACUGCGUCUGUUUUAUGUCCUGAAUAUGAUCUUUGUCAUUUACGGCAUCAUAACACCUUCAUAAGCUUUUUCCCAGGCUAAUGAUGUUAGAGUUCCUUUUUUAUCCUUUGCAUUUUCCACCCGCCGGCUCAUAGCUGUGAAUAUGUUUUCAGCUGGAGUGUUGUUCAGUUUUACAAAUGUAGCACAUUACGUGAGGCACAGCUGUCCCAACAGCCUUUUCCAAACCCACCGUUAUAUCAGUUUCCUGAUAUUAUGCCCGUAGUUAAAGCUAAAGGGAAAAUUAUGCACAUUACUAAUCAGAGGAAAACUAGUGAAAAACACAAAACUUUCUUAAUUUUUUCCCUAACCUUCCUUCUCUUGUGUUACUUCCCUGCACAAAAUUCCCUCAUUUUAUUAGUCUUCCUACUUCAGCUGCCAGAACACACAGUCCCAUACCUGCUGGAGACAGUGUCCAGAUGUAUCUCUUUGACUUUUCUCCUGUGGCAUAAAUAUAUUUUUAUGCGGUGGCUUUUCAAUUCACGCAGCUCCUCAGUCAACGAGCAGACAUGUUAUUCUGCAGACGUGGAAUGUUCUGGUGGGAACCUCUGUACAUGUUUGCAAUAUUUAAUAUAUACUUUAUCACUUCUUACUGGACACACCAGGAAUUUUAAUGGAUACCUGCUUCACAUUGCCUACUGUUUGCUAUAAUGGCUAUAACUUGAAAAUGUUGUUUUUACAGGAUAUAUUUACACACUAUGAACUAUUCAUUGACUGGCAACAAAACAUAGAAACUAAAAGUGUUCAAAUUAAAAUACACUAGUCUUAAUACUAUCGCACAAUUAUCUGUAUUAUCUAGCUUAUUUACACAAAACCAUAAUUUAUUUUAGUGUAAAUUGCCCAUUUUAUAAGCUUAAUUGUCAGUGGACCUCACAUUCUGUAAAGUACAAGCAGCACAGUCCAUUCAAAGAAGAGAGCAGGGUAUAGUCAGAACACUUAAUUAAAUGUUAUUAGCUCAGAAUGACUCUAUCAAGCUUAAAGUGUUGCUUUAGCACUAAAGGUGGUGGACUGGAACAAGGCAAGUCUUUUUUUUUUUUUUGAGAACUUUUAGUUGGUGAUUUUUAGACUUUAAUUGUUUCUUUUCUUAAUUAGGGAAUAUUCUGGAGUUUAAUUUGCCACUCUCUCUGCUUCUGUAGCUAACUCUGUGUUUGAAUGCGUGUCAUACUCUGACAUUACUGUGACAGACAUUACUGUUCAGUCAAGAAUGACAUUGCUGGUGUGUCACUGCUAGAUCAAUACAACUGUGAGGUAAAUCAAAGUUGGCAACACAAGAAACUGAAUUUUCUGAUAAUAAUCUUUGUUAUUUGUUAUUUGUUAUUUGACUUCUUCACAAAAAAGCAAAUAUCUCAAUAGCUUGUAGACAGCCAUUACAUGUUGUACAGACAUCCAUCUCCAGAGGAUGAAUCCUAAUGACUUUAAUGAUCCUCUGAUUGUUCCUCUGAAUAAAAAUGUCUCAACAGCUAUUGGAUGCUGUAACAUCUGGUUCAGCAAUUCAUGUCCUCCUCAGGGUGACUUGUGAUAACUUGUGAUUAUGAAAAUGUACUCUUCACCUAUGACAUCCCAAUCAGCCUGUGCUAUACUGUGUGUUUCGUGCUUUACAUCACGUUAAACUAACACGGUGAGUAUGGUAAGCACUCCAUGCUAAACAUCACCACGCCAUUUUGAGCAUGUUAGCAUGCUGAUGUUAGCACUUAGCUUGAAUCAGUGCCUAAGUACAGUCACUAUGGAGCCAAAAGCAAUAGUGGCUGUAGACUUUUCGUCGUUGUAAUAGAAAUGUCACAGUAACGUCAUUACACAGGAGUUCUUAUCUGCAGCGUCUGGUGCAAAACCAAGCUGUGUAUGCCACAGAUAAACAAACGAAGUAGUGCCCGCAACUUGCAUUUGAUUAAUUUGUGUUUGUAGUUCCAUUAUGAACUGCUCUUCAUCAGUUCAGUGGCAAAAGACCAAAUAUGAAGAACCAUGUUUCCAAAUAUGAAUUCUUUCCAACAUUUCAAAUUACCUCACAAACCACCAGUAACUCUUGAAACUGUGAAAAAGAGCAAACACGCUUUCUUCCUUUGGUCUUUUGACCUUCUGUCAUACCAGUUCAGUUAUUCGGUUUACACAACCCCUUAGGAAUUUUUCCUAUUCAAAGUUAGUGAUAGAAAUCUAGGCAUGCGUCAUAAUGGCAUGGUGAUGCAUCGGUAAACUGUAUCUGCAGAAGACCAUAUCUUAGGUUUGUAUCAUUAUGAUGAUAAAUUAUUACAGUUUCCACCUUCGCUAAGCCACAGAUAGAUGGUGAAAGAUCAAGACUUCUGAGCAGAACAUCUUAAGCGCUAAUUUUUCGUUGGACAAAUCUGACAAACAGACGCGCACUCAGGAGUUUUAUUCAUGAAGGUUUCAAAGACCAAACCAAACCAAACACAGGGAACGUCAUCUCUUUGACAUAUAAGUCUGAGAGUCAACGCCAGUAAAACAUCUUGGUUAUUUGAGCUUCUGACUCAUUUUUCUUUGUCAUUCUUUUAUUAUGUGGGAAAUUCAGAAAUAUUUUUACUUAGUCUACGCUGGACCGAGAUCUUAAACAGAAUGCAUAUUUCCUUAUUUCAAAACGCAGUCCUCUGUUCAUUUGUUGUCUGUCAUACUCUUCUUACCUCUCCGCUUGGUUGUUCACGCUUUGUUCACACCCACACUCUCCCCAUUCUUCUACUUUUCUUUCUUAUUCUCCCCUCAUUUCAGGGUGUCAUUGAGAAACCAGGUCCUGGUGUGAUGCAUUGUGUGUGGUAUAAUAAUUCACAGAUACGGCUUCUGUGUGAUAAAGACUGCUUAUGGAAUGGGGAGGACAUCUGUCCUGUGGACCCGUGCUGCUCUGAACUAAAACGAACCAUGUGUUGAACACUCACAGUAGGAAAACUGGAAGUCCAACAUCCGGCAAUGUGAAAACAAAAACGUUUUAGUUCCUUUUCCCCUUAAGAGGAUGAAAAAUAUUACAUACUGCUUGCACAGUAUGUAAUAAACCAAUUUUGUCAUCAUUAACACAGAAUUUAAACAUUUGUUAUUCUUUACAUUUUCAAAACAAAGGAAGCGUCCAGUUUCACAUGUGCUUUUCUUUCAUCUUACGUUCCUCCUGAUGCUAACGUUUGAUUCGUUUCCAACUUUCAAACCUCUCUUCCAUUUUUUUAGGGGUUCAAGGUGUAUGAAGAUCUGAAUUGAUGAUUCUGGCUUUAAUUAGUAUAGCCUGUUUUAGUGAUGUCAGCAAUUCUUUACAGGCUAUGCUAAUCUGUGCCAGAAUCAGCAAUGCAAUUGGGACGGAUGCAUUUCUCCAUGACGUACAUUAAGACUGUUUAUUGCACUGUUGUCAUUCCCUGAAUUUCUCUUUUAAUUUAUUGCUGGUUUUGAGUCAGUGCUUUGAAAUAUAACAGAGCAACAAAAAAAAAUAGUUCCUCAAAAUGGAUUGAAGUUGAUAGAGGCUUUCUGUUAAGGUGCAGGUCUUCAGAUGACAUAUCAUUUGUAAUUACUAUAAUAAAAAAAAAAAAA
rnacentral:lncRNA from 1 species